CACAACUGAAUCUUUCAGAGGAGGAAAGAGCAGACACUAGGCACAGAACAAAGAGCAAAUGAAACAGGAACUGUGGAAUAACACUGUGUUCCCAAAGAAAACAUAACUGCCAUAGAUCACAGAAUGAAAGCCCCAGAGCACGCAGCAGAGAAGUCCAGCAACAGGAGUCAACAUUUACAGAAAACCCUGUAGGAAGACUGUGGCACUACCAACUGAUCAACAUGUUACAGAACUCAUUUUAUACUGCAGCCAGGCUGAGGAGGGCCCAUCACCUGCACAUAAAUAUUUGGACAGUGGCGACAACUUGAAGACAGCUAGCUGCAGAGUGAUAUUCCAGAAUAAGAGUUUUGAAGCUCCAGAUGCUAGGGUAUUGAAAGUAUCUUCUGGAUUGCCAAUUUGC
rnacentral:lncRNA from 1 species